rnacentral:rRNA from 1 species
CCUACGGGAGGCAGCAGUGGGGAAUAUUGCACAAUGGGGGAAACCCUGAUGCAGCGACGCCGCGUGAGUGAAGAAGUAAUUCGUUAUGUAAAGCCCUAUCAGCAGGGAAGAAAAGGACGGUACCUGAGUAAGAAGCCCCGGCUAACUAUGUGCCAGCAGCCGCGGUAAUACGUAGGGGGCAAGCGGUAUCCGGAUUUACGGGGUGUAAAGGGAGCGUAGACGGGAGUGCAAGUCUGGAGUGAAAGGCGGGGGGUCAACCCCCGGACUGCUCUGGAAACUGUACGGCUGGAGUGCAGGAGAGGUAAGUGGAAUUCCUAGUGUAGCGGUGAAAUGCGUAGAUAUUAGGAGGAACACCAGUGGCGAAGGCGGCUUACUGGACUGUAACUGACGUUGAGGCUCGAAAGCGUGGGGAGCAAACAGGAUUAGAUACCCGGGUAGUC